rnacentral:rRNA from 1 species
UUAACCUGGCCUUGACAUACUAAGAACUUUCCAGAGAUGGAUUGGUGCCUUCGGGAACUUAGAUACAGGUGCUGCAUGGCUGUCGUCAGCUCGUGUCGUGAGAUGUUGGGUUAAGUCCCGCAACGAGCGCAACCCUUUUCCUUAUUUGCCAGCGGGUAAUGCCGGGAACUUUAAGGAUACUGCCAGUGACAAACUGGAGGAAGGCGGGGACGACGUCAAGUCAUCAUGGCCCUUACGGCCAGGGCUACACACGUGCUACAAUGGUCGGUACAAAGGGUUGCUACCUCGCGAGAGGAUGCUAAUCUCAAAAAGCCGAUCGUAGUCCGGAUCGCAGUCUGCAACUCGACUGCGUGAAGUCGGAAUCGCUAGUAAUCGCGGAUCAGAAUGCCGCGGUGAAUACGUUCCCGGGCCUUGUACACACCGCCCGUCACACCAUGGGAGUUUGUUGCACCAGAAGUAGGUAGUCUAACCGCAAGGAGGACGCUUACCACGGUGUGGCCGAUGACUGGGGUGAAGUCGUAACAAGGUAGGCGUACUACA